AAGUCGUAACAAGGUUUCCGUAGGUGAACCUGCGGAAGGAUCAUUAGUGAAACUCUCGAUCGCUGUGCGCCUUCACGGCCUGCACGCUUUCGUCUUCCACACACCUGUGCACCACUCGAGGGGGGGAGACCUCCUUCGCUUUCACAACACGCUUCAGUCCUGAAUGUAACAUCUUAUAAAAACAAAUACAACUUUCAGCAACGGAUCUCUUGGCUCUC
rnacentral:misc_RNA from 1 species